UGCAGUCGAGCGAACUGAUUAGAAGCUUGCUUCUAUGACGUUAGCGGCGGACGGGUGAGUAACACGUGGGCAACCUGCCUGUAAGACUGGGAUAACUUCGGGAAACCGAAGCUAAUACCGGAUAGGAUCUUCUCCUUCAUGGGAGAUGAUUGAAAGAUGGUUUCGGCUAUCACUUACAGAUGGGCCCGCGGUGCAUUAGCUAGUUGGUGAGGUAACGGCUCACCAAGGCAACGAUGCAUAGCCGACCUGAGAGGGUGAUCGGCCACACUGGGACUGAGACACGGCCCAGACUCCUACGGGAGGCAGCAGUAGGGAAUCUUCCGCAAUGGACGAAAGUCUGACGGAGCAACGCCGCGUGAGUGAUGAAGGCUUUCGGGUCGUAAAACUCUGUUGUUAGGGAAGAACAAGUACGAGAGUAACUGCUCGUACCUUGACGGUACCUAACCAGAAAGCCACGGCUAACUACGUGCCAGCAGCCGCGGUAAUACGUAGGUGGCAAGCGUUAUCCGGAAUUAUUGGGCGUAAAGCGCGCGCAGGCGGUUUCUUAAGUCUGAUGUGAGAGCCCACGGCUCAACCGUGGAGGGUCAUUGGAAACUGGGGAACUUGAGUGCAGAAGAGAAAAGCGGAAUUCCACGUGUAGCGGUGAAAUGCGUAGAGAUGUGGAGGAACACCAGUGGCGAAAGCGGCUUUUUGGUCUGUAACUGACGCUGCAGCGCGAAAGCGUGGGGAGCAAACACGAUGUAUAUACCCUGGGUGGUCCACGCCGUAUACGAUGAGUGCUGAGUGUUAGUAGGGGUUGUCCGCCCCUUUAUUGCUGCAGCUACGCAGUAAGCACUCCGACUGCGCGAGUACGGGUCG
rnacentral:rRNA from 1 species